GUCUACGGCCAUCCCACCCUGAACACGCCAGUCUUGUCUGAUCUCAGGAGCUGAGCAGGGUCAGGUCUGGUUAGUACUUGGAUGGUAGAAAUCUAAAUCUGAUGGUU
rnacentral:rRNA from 1 species